UGGAGGGCGUGCCAUCUCGCAAC
rnacentral:rRNA from 1 species